GCCUUCUGGAUGAAUGAAAGCAGAAGCAGUGGCUGGAGCUAGAGCAGCUAUUUAGGACUAAGAGAUGGAAGAAAUGUGGUGACAAUAGCAGAACAAAAAUAUAGAAAUCCCGGGUACUUGAUGACCACGGAGCCGCCAUACAAACUCUGGACUGUAAUUUCCAGAGAUUGUUUAUAGAAUGAAGAUACUGCCAUUACCUCUGCAAAGAAUGCAUCCUAGCACAGAUCAAAGAUCUUGCAAGUCCAACCACACCAUUUUACAGUUCUGAACCUCGACUUAGGAAAGCAGUGGAUCUUUAUACAUUUGACACAUCCCUUCCCUCUAGGAUCUCUGUGGCUAUUGAAAAUGGACUGGAGAAGAUGAGUGGGAGUGAGAAGAGGGUAACAGAAUCAGAUAAAAACAUGUCAUGUUAUUAUGAGCAGGAGAUGAGGCAGCCUGGACCAAGAUGGUGGCAGAGAGAAGAAAAUUGCUUGAGAGAAUUGAUUAAACUAUUUGGUUAGCACAGAUAGAGCUGAAUCAAAAAUUAGAAUGGUAAGCUAAGUAAUUUUACACACAAAAAGGCAGAGUUGCAUUCAUAAUUAGUCUCUACUUCAGACUGAAUAUUACAGCCAAAAUAUAGCCAUUGGUGUUGCAAUCACUUCCUUUGGGUUUAUAUCCAAGGUCAAGAAUGUCAGCAUCCAAAGACCCAAAUUCUUAAUGUUUUUAGUUGAUAAAGUUUAUUCAAGGUAGACAGCCUGUGUUGAAUAACUUAGCCUUCCACAAAUUUCAAGAAAAAUCCAUUGUCCCUCUUCUCCACCACAGACACACUUUAGUUGAACAUUAAGCAUAUUUAUUAAAGAAACAUUCUCCUUGUGCUUUUUCUCUCAAGAUGGAUGGUGUUCUUACUUAGAGUUAUAAGUGUCAGAAUAAAAAUGCCCAUGAGGUUGAAUUGUAUGAUGUUAUAGUAAAUUGAGAUAAACAUUCUCAGAAACAUGAUUGUGACUUAAAAAAAAAAACCAACAAACCACUUUCUGUAGAGGAAUUAUGCUUUGGGGACAGAAACUUUCCUUCAUAAUUUUUACAGCUGCACUCAGAUAAAGUAUAUUAAAAAGGCACAACACAUCAAUUAUGAAAACAUGGCUAUACUUUAAGAGAACACAGACUUUUUCCAGAUCCACCUUAAAUCUCAGGAAUUCUAGAUCGAGACAGGCAUGAAUGCUCCUGUUGCUAAAAUCACUCUGAUUUCCUUCUUGUUAAACACUUCACUCAGCAACAUUAUAGAUUAGCACCAAAAAAGUUGUUUGUAGGUGAAAAACUGUUCAGAAAAGGACACCUUAUUAGGCAGGCUAUCGAUUUACAAAUAAAAGCCGAUUCUGGCUCUCC
rnacentral:lncRNA from 1 species